rfam:Alligator sinensis unplaced genomic scaffold scaffold337_1, whole genome shotgun sequence
CUGUUCUUCAUGACGGUCUGACCUUAAAUCACGAACGGGUCAGGCCUGAUGUUUGACAG